ACAGUUCUCAAUAGAUCAGUGUGUAGUAUCUGUUCUUCUCAGCUUGAUCGCUGGGAGCCUUUUACAGGAAGGCUACUCCGUUCGCUAUUUUUUGAGUCCUUGGUUGGUUUCCUCUGUGCAUGCACAUGAUACCCUCCACUGUGUCCCUGGUAUUUCACUGCCUCCAGGUGAUGCGAAAGAAAC
rfam:Verticillium longisporum isolate VL1 genome assembly, contig: scaffold_41